rnacentral:lncRNA from 1 species
UGUUUCAGGAGGGCUACAGCCUUGCCCAGAUGGCUUGGGGGCCCUGGUUCAGCCGCAGCACACAGGGACUCCCAUCGUGGCCAGAGAAUGGAGACUCUACAGCCCCACAUGUGGUCCAGGAAGACCAUCCAGCACCUGAGACCCCAGAGCCCUGAGGCCAUAGACAGGGCACCCUGUAGCCCCUGGCCAGCCCCGCUACGUCACCACCAUGAGUUCACCACCCCAAAGCAACAGCAUCCAGGGGCUGGCGAUCCAGCAGAAGCAGGGAGUGUGGAGGUGAGAAAUGCUCCCAAGAAGUUGGAGGAGAAUCCCUGGCCUCCCCGGAGCUGGCUGGGAUGAGGAAGCAGUGCACGGACCAUCACUAAGAGAGAUGGAGGCACUGAAGGAGGUCUUCAAGGAGUGUUUCAUUGAGCUGAUUUUCUUGCAACAACUUCCAGGGAAGAUGAUGGAUUUCUUAGCUUCUAAGAAGGAACAUUAUGACUCCAUCACAGCUCAUCUUAGAAUGAUUUGGACCUUAAGGAAGAGGGGGAGGAGGAGCAGUCUGAAGUUAUUAGCAAUGAGGUGAAAACUCUCAUGUUUAAUUACUUGUCAUGGAAAUGGAUAUCAUGGCUUAUACCACCACAAGUCAAAUUCAGAGUUGCAUCAUCUUAGAGCAGGUGUUCUAGACAUUUUACUUUUACACCAAAACACUGUUAUAGUGACUUGACAGCUGUCUCAGAGAUGUGCUGAGGCCCUCCCCAUUCAUGAAGGCUGGUUUGGGGACCCUGCACAUAGCUGAGUCUGCUAGCAUCUACCCGUAAGCUGCUUGCCCUUCCUUCUAACUGUCCCUCCAGGCCUUCCCAUUGCUUUUCCAGGCUGUGCUGCUCAGAGUGGUGGUGCCCACAGCCCCCCUGCCAUGCCCAGUGGGCAGGACUGGCCAGUAUCUGAAGCUGAGAAUCCUGAACAUGCACAUCUUGGUGUUAGAGUCUCUGUGUAAGUUACAGGUCUAACUUAGAUCAAAAUACGUAAGGCACAAUUGACAGAAUUUAAGGAGGAAAUUCCAAAAUCCACAAUUAUAUGAUGAGAUUUUAACAUUUCUCUCAGAAAACAACAAAUCAGGAAAUAACAUAGUUACAAGGAUAUAGAACAUGUGAAGAACACAAAGUAACAACAUAAAUUAUCCUGUUUGACUACAUAUGUAUAGAAAUAUGUACAUAUGUAUGUGUGUGUGUAAAAACUUUCACUCAACAAAGUGAAAUAAUUCUUUUAAAGGAUACAUGGAAAUUUUUUGUAUAUCAACCCCAAAGGAAACUUCAAUAAGAUUUUAAACAUCAACCCCAUAUGGACUAUUCUUUGCGUUCAAUGAAUAAAAUUAGAAAUCAAUUAUUAUUAUCAAAUUAUGUUUGGAAACUAAGAAAAUUACUUCUGAUGAAUUCAUGGGUUGAAGAGAAUAUCCUCAUGGAAAUCAUGGAAUAUUCUGAAGUAGAUGACAGCAGGAGUGCUGCAUCCUCCAGACCUUGUGGGAGAAGCUGAGGGUCCACUCAGAAAGUCAAUUAUGUGAGAAACAAGAAACAUGGAAGAUGAACGUUCUGAAAGCUUUGAUGGUCAGACUCAUA